UACGUAGGCAGCAAGCGUUGUUCGGAAUUACUGGGCGUAAAGGGUGUGUAGGCGGUUUUCUAAGUUUGGUGUGAAAUCUCCCGGCUCAACCGGGAGGGUGCGCCGAAAACUGGGAGACUAGAGUGCGGGAUGGGAGAGUAGAAUUCCUGGUGUAGCGGUGAAAUGCGUAGAUAUCAGGAGGAAUACCGGUGGUGUAGACGGCUCUCUGGACCGCCACUGACGCUGAGACACGAAAGCGUGGGUAGCAAACAGG
rnacentral:rRNA from 1 species